GGAGGACCAUCUGCUAGUCAUGAGCAGAUGACAAAUUCACUGCAUUGCGUCUUGUCGCUACUUCCAAAUUUCCUCUUCAGUGGUCACUCACAGCCGGGUGAGAAGAGCAGCUAAAGAUGGAAGAAGAAAGACAGAGACCAGCAAGAAACCUCUGCAGGCUCACCUGUGAAAUCACAAGAAGCAGUGUACAGCCCCAAAGAAAGCAGUGGGUUCUUGUUGACCAGGAUGGAAAGAUGACCUGAAAUUGUAAAGGAUUGAGUACUGAAUUAUUUAAAUUGUGGAAGGAAAGCAUCCCACCUUCUAAACCCUUAGUGCUUACAGCAAGAGGAAAGAUGCAUCCAAAUGUCAAAACUGCAGGAGAAACAACAAUUAUUUCUAAGCACAGCCUCUUUAUUCCAAAUGAAAAACAUGAUAGUUUUUGAUAAUGUGGACAAGUUUGCAGAGAAACCUGCAGCCUAUCCUCGCCAGGCUACCACUUGGACAGUAGCAACCAUUGUGUUUCCCAUCUGAAACAAAGAGAGCAUUAAUCUGUCCACUCUCUCACUGACUAGAAGGCAUUAUGCUCCUCAGAUUCAAGGCAGAAAUGGGAUUGUGUAUGGAUCAAAGACAAGAACUUUCUCACAAUGUGUUUAUGGCCAUCUAAACUGUUGCUAGAUAUGUUAGGUGAGGAGGAGGCAAGCUAGCCAGAGCUUCUUGUAGAUGGCAACCACACUGCCCUCUGGAUUCUCCUGAGUCUGCCUGAAGGAUGAGGAAGCAUGCAGAUGACACAUUGCUGGUGAAACAUGGG
ensembl:lncRNA